rnacentral:tRNA from 1 species
GGAGAGAUGGCCGAGUGGCUGAAGGCGCACGCUUGGAAAGCGUGUAAACGUUGAAAGCGUUUCAUGGGUUCGAAUCCCAUUCUCUCCG